rnacentral:rRNA from 1 species
AUUGAACGCUGGCGGCAGGCCUAACACAUGCAAGUCGAACGGUAACAGGAAACAGCUUGCUGUUUCGCUGACGAGUGGCGGACGGGUGAGUAAUGUCUGAGAAACUGCCUGAUGGAGGGGGAUAACUACUGGAAACGGUAGCUAAUACCGCAUAACGUCGCAAGACCAAAGAGGGGGACCUUCGGGCCUCUUGCCAUCGGAUGUGCCCAGAUGGGAUUAGCUAGUAGGUGGGGUAACGGCUCACCUAGGCGACGAUCCCUAGCUGGUCUGAGAGGAUGACCAGCCACACUGGAACUGAGACACGGUACAGACUCCUACGGGAGGCAGCAGUGGGGAAUAUUGCACAAUGGGCGCAAGCCUGAUGCAGCCAUGCCGCGUGUAUGAAGAAGGCCUUCGGGAUGUAAAGUACUUUCAGCGGGGAGGAAGGGAGUAAAGUUAAUACCUUUGCUCAUUGACGUUACCCGCAGAAGAAGCACCGGCUAACUCCGUGCCAGCCGCCGCAGUAA